rnacentral:tRNA from 4 species
CGGGGCGUAGCGCAGCCUGGUUAGCGUGCCUGCCUUGGGAGCAGGAGGUCGUAGGUUCGAAUCCUACCGCCCCGACCA